rfam:Loxodonta africana unplaced genomic scaffold scaffold_29, whole genome shotgun sequence.
GCAGUGAUGGUUCAGUGGUAGAAUUCUCACCUACCAUGCAGGAGACUUGGGUUCGAUUCCCAGCCAAUGCA